AUUGAACGCUGGCGGCAGGCCUAACACAUGCAAGUCGAGCGGAUGGAGGGAGCUUGCUCCUGGAUUCAGCGGCGGACGGGUGAGUAAUGCCUAGGAAUCUGCCUGGUAGUGGGGGAUAACGUCCGGAAACGGGCGCUAAUACCGCAUACGUCCUGAGGGAGAAAGUGGGGGAUCUUCGGACCUCACGCUAUCUGAUGAGCCUAGGUCGGAUUAGCUAGUUGGUGGGGUAAAGGCCUACCAAGGCGACGAUCCGUAACUGGUCUGAGAGGAUGAUCAGUCACACUGGAACUGAGACACGGUCCAGACUCCUACGGGAGGCAGCAGUGGGGAAUAUUGGACAAUGGGCGAAAGCCUGAUCCAGCCAUGCCGCGUGUGUGAAGAAGGUCUUCGGAUUGUAAAGCACUUUAAGUUGGGAGGAAGGGCAGUAAGUUAAUACCUUGCUGUUUUGACGUUACCAACAGAAUAAGCACCGGCUAACUUCGU
rnacentral:rRNA from 1 species